rnacentral:rRNA from 1 species
AUGGCGACCGCCAGCGGCAACGAAAGCUUCAUGUCGUGGAUAAGGUGUACCAUAGACGCCCUCUGCGACCGCGUCCGCGAGGCGGACGAGCGGCCGGCCGGCGUCGCCCCGGGGCAUGCCUUCCUCCUGGACGAGAGCAUCCACGGCAAGGUGCAGCUGCUGGCGGAGAUCCGAGGCUGGCGGACCUACCUGGAGGAAAUCGUCGAGAAGCUUGGCCUUUGGAACAGUCCGUCCAAAGAGCUUUGUUCUCGACGGAGCGAGACCUUGCUGGAGCUGACAGGCCAAGUAGAGCGCCUCCGGCUCUUCGAGAAGACGGCAGUGGACGGCGGCCGCCGGACGCUCGUGGACUCGAGCGUCGAUCAGAUCGUGAAGGACAUCAUGGCGGGAGAGGAGGCCGAGCAGAUUGCCCCGAACGAUGAUGGUGUCGAGGAGGAUCAACAACCCAGCCUCCAGCUGCCGGCGGGUCCAAAUAUGCCCGUUUUGAGGAACGACACGGCGGUGGCCGUGGCAGCUGCCGUUGGUGGCCUUGUGACCCCUUUUCACAUGGAGACGUUCGACCUCAAAUCCAUGGUGGCGGACUUGUCAGGUGUGCCAAUGGCGAAGCUGAAGAUGCAGGCGGAGACCGAGGACGAGGUGCUCCUCCUGUGGGAGCCGGGAGACAAAGCUGAGCAACCACCACCAUCCUCCAAAAUCCGCGCCAAUUUCCUCUCCGCGCGACUGGAAGGACACGAUGUGAGUCACGGAGGCCGUGUGGACUACCAGUUCUUCUCCCCGCCGAUCGACUUCGACACGGAGGAGGAGUCGCCGCUCCAGCCCGGUCGCCACACCGACGCCAUCGGGGCACCCCUCCAGCGAUCGGCCAACGUCCUCUCCAUCAAGGUGACCAGCUCCGGCGUUGCCAGCUUCCCACUCAGCCUGUACGGCUCCGUCGUUGUGAGAGACGCCCUCGACGAUGAGGGGAUCUGCCUCUUCCACCGCGAGCGCGACGACCCCCAGCUCAUCGCCUCGCAGGGCGAGCCAUUGUUGCUGACAGGUCCAACCCGCGGCCUCGUGGUUUUUGGUUUCCUCUUCUUCGACUUUAACCUCAAGCUCAAGACGGGUCGUGUCGAGGAUGACAUAGAGUUCAUCCGAGACAUGAUGGAGUACAACAGACACAUGAACCAGCACACCCACAUCUCCGACAGCCUCUCGUCGCCGCUCGGCGCCGUCGAGCUGGGCUACAUGGCGGUCCAGAGCGCUAUCGAGUCCACCGUCGAGAUCCGGAUCCUGAAGAAUUCCAAGAAUCUUCGUGUUGUUGACGACGGACUGUAUAGGAAGAUCUCGGUGCACGCACGCACAACCAAGAAUCCGGAGGAGAUGGUGUUGUUCGACAGCACCGCAUCUGGCGCGGCGAUCACAGUCGGGGACGAUGGUGUGCUAGAGCUCUCGCGUCGCGUCGUGGCGGUGUCGGUAGGGGAUUCUUUGGUGAUUACAGUUGGGACGUGGGAUGGUGACGGUGGUGACUUGCACACAAAGUCAUCCUUCGUCUUCGCGCCUCUUGUCUACGGCGAAGGGCGUGCGGUCGUUCCCUGUGCUGGUUACACGAUGCAGAUUAAGGUUGUUUGGUCAGCUUUAUUCAAUCCAAAGAUUGAUUAA